CUAUACGGCGAAACUGCGAAUGGCUCAUUAUAUAAGUUAUCGUUCAUUUGAUAGCACCUUACUACUUGGACAACCGUGGUAAUUCUAGAGCUAAUACAUGCUGAAAACCCCGACGUCAGGAGGGGUGUAUUUAUUAGAUUAAAAGCCAAUGCCCCCCGGGCUCUCUGGUGAUUCAUGAUAACUUCGCGGAUCGCACGGCCUUGCGCCGGCGAUGGUUCAUACAAAUUUCUUCCCUAUCAACUUUCGAUGUUUGGGUCUUGGCCAAACAUGGUUGCAACGGGUAACGGAGGGUUAGGGCUCGACCCCGGAGAAGGAGCCUGAGAAACGGCUACUACAUCCAAGGAAGGCAGCAGGCGCGCAAAUUACCCAAUCCCGACCCGGGGAGGUAGUGACAAUAAAUACUGAUACAGGGCUCUUUUGGGUCUUGUAAUUGGAAUGAGUACAUCCUAAACCCCUUAACGAGGAACAAUUGGAGGGCAAGUCUGGUGCCAGCAGCCGCGGUAAUUCCAGCUCCAAUAGCGUAUAUUAAAGUUGUUGUGGUUAAAAA
rnacentral:rRNA from 1 species